UGGGGAAUUUUGGACAAUGGGCGAAAGCCUGAUCCAGCAAUGCCGCGUGUGUGAAGAAGGCCUUCGGGUUGUAAAGCACUUUUGUCCGGAAAGAAAUCCUUGGCUCUAAUACAGUCGGGGGAUGACGGUACCGGAAGAAUAAGCACCGGCUAACUACGUGCCAACAGCCGCGGUAAUACGUAGGGUGCAAGCGUUAAUCGGAAUUACUGGGCGUAAAGCGUGCGCAGGCGGUUUGCUAAGACCGAUGUGAAGUCCCCGGGCUCAACCUGGGAACUGCAUUGGUGACUGGCAGGCUAGAGUAUGGCAGAGGGGGGUAGAAUUCCACGUGUAGCAGUGAAAUGCGUAGAGAUGUGGAGGAAUACCGAUGGCGAAGGCAGCCCCCUGGGCCAAUACUGAUGCUCAUGCACGAAAGCGUGGGGAGCAAAGCAGGAUUAGAUACCCUGAUAGUCCACGCCCUAAAACGAUGUCAACUAGUUGUUGGGGAUUCAUUUCCUCAGUAACGUAGCUAACGCGUGAAGUUGACCGCCUGGGGAGU
rnacentral:rRNA from 1 species